rnacentral:rRNA from 1 species
UAUUGGUCAAUGGGCGGGAGCCUGAACCAGCCAAGUCGCGUGAGGGAAGACGGUCCUACGGAUUGUAAACCUCUUUUGCCGGGGAGCAACGGGGUCCUUGCGAGGGCCCAAUGAGAGUACCCGGAGAACAAGCAUCGGCUAACUCCGUUCCGGCAGCCGCGGUAAAACGGAUGAUGCGAGCGUUAUCCGGAUUUAUUGGGUUUAAAGGGUGCGUAGGCGGGCUGUUAAGUCAGCUGUCAAAUGUCGGGGCUCAACCCCGGCCUGCCGUUGAAACUGGCGGCCUCGAGUGGGCGAGAAGUAUGCGGAAUGCGUGUUGUAGCGGUGAAAUGCAUAGAUAUCACGCAGAACUCCGAUUGCGAAGGCAGCAUACCGGCGCCCUACUGACGCUGAGGCACGAAAGCGUGGGUAUCGAACAGG